rnacentral:RNase_P_RNA from 1 species
AAAACUAAGUGGCUAACCGCGAGAGAGAUCAAAUAAACCACACUAAAAGAAUGGUAAUAAUGUGGCCUCUUUUCAUUAUCUCCCGUGGUACGGGGAAGGAAAAUCAUGNNNNNNNNNNACCGCCGAUGGCCCGCGCAAGCGGGAUCAGGUAAGGGUGAAAGGGUGCGGUAAGAGCGCACCGCGCGGCUGGUAACAGUCCGUGGCACGGUAAACUCCACCCGGAGCAAGGCCAAAUAGGGGUUCAUAAGGUACGGCCCGUACUGAACCCGGGUAGGCUGCUUGAGCCAGUGAGCGAUUGCUGGCCUAGAUGAAUGACUGUCCACGACAGAACCCGGCUUAUCGGUCAGUUUCACCU